UACUCGAGUGGCGAACGGGUGAGUAACACGUGGGUGAUCUGCCCUGCACUUCGGGAUAAGCCUGGGAAACUGGGUCUAAUACCGGAUAGGAGCCAUUUUCAGUGUGAUGGUUGGAAAGUUUUUUCGGUGUAGGAUGAGCUCGCGGCCUAUCAGCUUGUUGGUGGGGUAAUGGCCUACCAAGGCGGCGACGGGUAGCCGGCCUGAGAGGGUGGACGGCCACAUUGGGACUGAGAUACGGCCCAG
rnacentral:rRNA from 1 species